rnacentral:tRNA from 1 species
GGGCCUAUAGCUCAGCUGGUUAGAGCGCGCGCCCGAUAAGCGCGAGGUCGAUGGUUCGAUCCCAUCUAGGCCCA